GACCACAGCAACAACACCAAUCACAGCAGCAAACACAACAACACCGACCACAGCAACAACACCAAUCACAGCAGCAAACACAACAACACCGACCACAGAAACAACACCAACCACAGCAACAACACCGACGACUACACUACCCAGCACAACUACAACAAUGCCAAUGAUGACAACACCACCACCACCAAUGGUGAAGACCUUGACGUUCACCAUGGACCUGGUUUACGAUUCUUCAUACAAUAACCCGGAAAACGAGGUUUACAAAAACACUAAUAACACUAUUCAAGAACAAUGUAAGACGCACAUCUCAACUCUAGUAUCAGUCAACAUCAAUGGCUUCAAGAGUGGAAGCACCAUCGUUGACUAUACUAUAAGAGCAAACUCUAUAAAUGUUGCGGACAUUGCUGCAGUAACAUCAGGGAUAUUUAUACAGCUGGGAAAAUAUACCCUGUGAUAUUUGACGGCCCACUAACGAUUCAGCCAUCUUUCAUAACUAUUGGGGAGAGUGUGACUAUGACAUGUGGCCCUCCUCCAGCAAAUCUCAGUUUCGUUACCAGCUGGACUGCAGAGUGGAGACUUGACGGCAAUCCAAUACCCAAAGAUAGUGCACACGUCCAGUCACUUAAUAAAGAUGUAGCAACCUUAACUGUGACCAAUUUUUUUAGCGC